CCCUUUGGGGUGUGACUGCGUACCUUUUGUAUAAUGGGUCAGCGACUUAUAUUCUGUAGCAAGGUUAACCGUAUAGGGGAGCCGCAGGGAAACCGAGUCUUAACCGGGCGUUAAGUUGCAGGGUAUAGACCCGAAACCCGGUGAUCUAGCCAUGGGCAGGUUGAAGGUUGGGUAACACUAACUGGAGGACCGAACCGACUAAUGUUGAAAAAUUAGCGGAUGACCUGUGGCUGGGGGUGAAAGGCCAAUCAAACCGGGAGAUAGCUGGUUCUCCCCGAAAGCUAUUUAGGUAGCGCCUCGUGAAUUCAUCUCCGGGGGUAGAGCACUGUUUCGGCUAGGGGGCCAUCCCGGCUUACCAACCCGAUGCAAACUGCGAAUACCGGAGAAUGUUAUCACGGGAGACACACGGCGGGUGCUAACGUCCGUCGUGAAGAGGGAAACAACCCAGACCGCCAGCUAAGGUCCCAAAGUCAUGGUUAAGUGGGAAACGAUGUGGGAAGGCCCAGACAGCCAGGAUGUUGGCUUAGAAGCAGCCAUCAUUUAAAGAAAGCGUAAUAGCUCACUGGUCGAGUCGGCCUGCGCGGAAGAUGUAACGGGGCUAAACCAU
rnacentral:rRNA from 1 species